UUAAGCGACUAAGCGUACACGGUGGAUGCCCUGGCAGUCAGAGGCGAUGAAGGACGUGCUAAUCUGCGAAAAGCGCCGGCGAGGUGAUAUGAACCCUUGACCCGGCGAUGUCCGAAUGGGGAAACCCAGUGUGAUUCGUCACACUAUCGUUAACUGAAUACAUAGGUUAACGAGGCGAACCGGGGGAACUGAAACAUCUAAGUACCCCGAGGAAAAGAAAUCAACCGAGAUUCCCCCAGUAGCGGCGAGCGAACGGGGAGCAGCCCGGAGUCUGAAUCAGCUUGUGUGUUAGUGGAACGGUCUGGAAAGUCCGACGGUACAGGGUGAUAGUCCCGUACACGAAAGCACACUUGCUGUGAACUCGAAGAGUAGGGCGGGACACGUGGUAUCCUGUCUGAAUAUGGGGGGACCAUCCUCCAAGGCUAAAUACUCCUGACUGACCGAUAGUGAACCAGUACCGUGAGGGAAAGGCGAAAAGAACCCCGGCGAGGGGAGUGAAAAAGAACCUGAAACCGUGUACGUACAAGCAGUGGGAGCACCUUCGUGGUGUGACUGCGUACCUUUUGUAUAAUGGGUCAGCGACUUAUAUUCUGUAGCAAGGUUAACCGUAUAGGGGAGCCGAAGGGAAACCGAGUCUUAACUGGGCGUUAAGUUGCAGGGUAUAGACCCGAAACCCGGUGAUCUAGCCAUGGGCAGGUUGAAGGUUGGGUAACACUAACUGGAGGACCGAACCGACUAAUGUUGAAAAAUUAGCGGAUGACCUGUGGCUGGGGGUGAAAGGCCAAUCAAACCGGGAGAUAGCUGGUUCUCCCCGAAAGCUAUUUAGGUAGCGCCUCGUGAACUCAUCUUCGGGGGUAGAGCACUGUUUCGGCUAGGGGGCCAUCCCGGCUUACCAACCCGAUGCAAACUACGAAUACCGAAGAAUGUUAUCACGGGAGACACACGGCGGGUGCUAACGUCCGUCGUGAAGAGGGAAACAACCCAGACCGCCAGCUAAGGUCCCAAAGUCAUGGUUAAGUGGGAAACGAUGUGGGAAGGCACAGACAGCCAGGAUGUUGGCUUAGAAGCAGCCAUCAUUUAAAGAAAGCGUAAUAGCUCACUGGUCGAGUCGGCCUGCGCGGAAGAUGUAACGGGGCUAAACCAUGCACCGAAGCUGCGGCAGCGACACUAUGUGUUGUUGGGUAGGGGAGCGUUCUGUAAGCCGUUGAAGGUGUGCUGUGAGGCAUGCUGGAGGUAUCAGAAGUGCGAAUGCUGACAUAAGUAACGAUAAAGCGGGUGAAAAGCCCGCUCGCCGGAAGACCAAGGGUUCCUGUCCAACGUUAAUCGGGGCAGGGUGAGUCGACCCCUAAGGCGAGGCCGAAAGGCGUAGUCGAUGGGAAACAGGUUAAUAUUCCUGUACUUGGUGUUACUGCGAAGGGGGGACGGAGAAGGCUAUGUCAGCCGGGCGACGGUUGUCCCGGUUUAAGCAUGUAGGCGGAGGUUCCAGGUAAAUCCGGUACCUUAUUAACGCUGAGGUGUGAUGACGAGGCACUACGGUGCUGAAGUGAUAAAUGCCCUGCUUCCAGGAAAAGCCUCUAAGCAUCAGGUAACACGAAAUCGUACCCCAAACCGACACAGGUGGUCAGGUAGAGAAUACCAAGGCGCUUGAGAGAACUCGGGUGAAGGAACUAGGCAAAAUGGUGCCGUAACUUCGGGAGAAGGCACGCUGAUGUGUAGGUGAAGCCCCUGCGGGCGGAGCUGAAAUCAGUCGAAGAUACCAGCUGGCUGCAACUGUUUAUUAAAAACACAGCACUGUGCAAACACGAAAGUGGACGUAUACGGUGUGACGCCUGCCCGGUGCCGGAAGGUUAAUUGAUGGGGUUAGCUGUAAGGCGAAGCUCUUGAUCGAAGCCCCGGUAAACGGCGGCCGUAACUAUAACGGUCCUAAGGUAGCGAAAUUCCUUGUCGGGUAAGUUCCGACCUGCACGAAUGGCGUAAUGAUGGCCAGGCUGUCUCCACCCGAGACUCAGUGAAAUUGAACUCGCUGUGAAGAUGCAGUGUACCCGCGGCAAGACGGAAAGACCCCGUGAACCUUUACUAUAGCUUGACACUGAACACUGGUCCUUGAUGUGUAGGAUAGGUGGGAGGCUUUGAAGCGUGGACGCCAGUCUGCGUGGAGCCGCCCUUGAAAUACCACCCUUUAAUGGCUGGUGUUCUAACGUAGACCCGUAAUCCGGGUUGCGGACAGUGUCUGGUGGGUAGUUUGACUGGGGCGGUCUCCUCCCAAAGAGUAACGGAGGAGCACGAAGGUUGGCUAAUCCUGGUCGGACAUCAGGAGGUUAGUGCAAUGGCAUAAGCCAGCUUGACUGCGAGCGUGACGGCGCGAGCAGGUGCGAAAGCAGGUCAUAGUGAUCCGGUGGUUCUGAAUGGAAGGGCCAUCGCUCAACGGAUAAAAGGUACUCCGGGGAUAACAGGCUGAUACCGCCCAAGAGUUCAUAUCGACGGCGGUGUUUGGCACCUCGAUGUCGGCUCAUCACAUCCUGGGGCUGAAGUAGGUCCCAAGGGUAUGGCUGUUCGCCAUUUAAAGUGGUACGCGAGCUGGGUUUAGAACGUCGUGAGACAGUUCGGUCCCUAUCUGCCGUGGGCGCUGGAGAAUUGAGGGGGGCUGCUCCUAGUACGAGAGGACCGGAGUGGACGCAUCACUGGUGUUCGGGUUGUCAUGCCAAUGGCACUGCCCGGUAGCUAAAUGCGGAAGAGAUAAGUGCUGAAAGCAUCUAAGCACGAAACUUGCCCCGAGAUGAGUUCUCCCUGAGACUUUAAGUCUCCUGAAGGAACGUUAAAGACUAUGACGUUGAUAGGUCGGGUGUGUAAGCGCAGCGAUGCGUUGAGCUAACCGAUACUAAUGAACCGUGAGGCUUAACCUU
rnacentral:rRNA from 2 species